GACGAACGCUGGCGGCGUGCCUAACACAUGCAAGUCGAGCGAGUGGAGUUCUUCGGAACAAAGCUAGCGGCGGACGGGUGAGUAACACGUGGGCAACCUGCCUCAUAGAGGGGAAUAGCCUCCCGAAAGGGAGAUUAAUACCGCAUAAGAUUGUAGCUUCGCAUGAAGUAGCAAUUAAAGGAGCAAUCCGCUAUGAGAUGGGCCCGCGGCGCAUUAGCUAGUUGGUGAGGUAACGGCUCACCAAGGCGACGAUGCGUAGCCGACCUGAGAGGGUGAUCGGCCACAUUGGGACUGAGACACGGCCCAGACUCCUACGGGAGGCAGCAGUGGGGAAUAUUGCACAAUGGGGGAAACCCUGAUGCAGCAACGCCGCGUGAGUGAUGACGGUCUUCGGAUUGUA
rnacentral:rRNA from 1 species